GAUUGGAUAGUAUAGUGGUUAGUACGAUUCGUUGUGGCUUGGCUUCAAACCACUAUCAAAUCCGAAUAGACCCAGGUUCGAUUCCUGGUCCAGUCA